AGACCCGCCCUACUCGUGAAUUCGCCUUUGUUCCGAGUCGCGCUUCCCGCCGCGGGCGCGGGCUUUCUUUGUUCCUCUGCCUCGCCGCCAUCUUGAGCACAGGGCACCGCCGGGGGAGAGCCAAGCAUCGCUACAUCGCGAAUGCUUUGGGACGGUUGCACUGGAGCCAUGGCCCACAUGACCGGAACUGCUGUAACCUUCGUUGGAAAUGAGGGCCCGGCUUUACCUCCACGUUUACGGGGCCUUCAGCACUGCUGCUCCGUCCCGGUAACAAAACCCCUUUAAACCGAAACCCCUCUCCAGAAGAGUUGAAAAGCUUCAAGACCUCGUCUUUUCCAUCACCAAGCCAAGGGAAAUCUAACCAAAAGAUUUUUUUCACAAAAGGCAAAUACAUGGUUGCUUAGCGAUUCUCCGGUAGAAAUCUCGCCAGCCGCGGGAACCAAAGUUCUUUUCACGUCUUAUUUUCGUUUUCUUCUUUGAUUAUUAAAACUUGUGAUUCUGA